AGAGUUUGAUCCUGGCUCAGAUUGAACGCUGGCGGCGUGCUUAACACAUGCAAGUCGCGCGUGAAAGGGACUUCGGCCUGAGUAAAGCGGCGCACGGGUGAGUAACGCGUGGAUGAUCUACCCAUGAGUUGGGAAUAACGGCUGGAAACGGUCGCUAAUACCGAAUACGCUCCGAUUUCAACUUCGGGGGAAAGGUGGCCUCUGCUUGCAAGCUACUGCUCAUGGAUGAGUCCGCGUCCCAUUAGCUAGUUGGUGAGGUAACGGCCCACCAAGGCGACGAUGGGUAGCCGGUCUGAGAGGAUGACCGGCCACACUGGGACUGGAACACGGCCCAGACUCCUACGGGAGGCAGC
rnacentral:rRNA from 1 species